UGUGAAGCUGCUUCCUACACAGGCUGUCAGUGUAUGAGAUUGUGAGCCAGUGAGAGGGGGGACACCGGGCUUGUUAGAGAAGCUAGAGGAGUGAUGCAAGAAAAAGAAGGCUUGGGAGGAAAGAUAGAAAGAAAUCAACAGGGGGAGUGUGACAAUUAAGAAAAUGCAAUUGAUUGUUACUGUAUAAGAAAGAGACACAAAAAGAGACUGGGCAUAGUAAAGUGGAAAGGAGAACUGGAGGAAUUUUAGUAUUUAAAGCAUUAAGCAAAAAAAAUUGAGGGAGGUGGAAAGCUGGGGUUUAGGAUGUACACGUGCAGAGGAAAGAAAGGGAUGAGAGGAUAGAUAAUUAGCCUGAGGGCAGUGGAUUAACAGUGAAGCUACACAGAGGAGGGACGGCCCUAAAGGUAAAGUGAGGGGUUCAAUAAGGAAGAAAGAUGUCCAUAUAUGCCGUCUCCAUAAACAGGGGGGUGCAGAGAGUGAGGCUUGCAAGAGAGGGAUACCCAGUCAUUGAAGAACCAAGAACAUGCAAGUGAUCCAGAUCUGGGACAUAUAGAUGUUAAUACAAGAGGAGGCAUAUGAAAAUCCAGAGAGACUUGCUCCAAACAGAAAAGGGAGACAGACCCAACAAAAAGAGGGAGGUAAUGAGAUAGGGAGGGGUACUGAAGAAACUGGAGAAGGAGGAGAAGUCUAGACAAGUGACAAAAGAGGAGAAAGGGAGAAGAGUUCCAUAGAAGAGUUGGGUCUUUUGGCUCUUUUUGGUCCUUAACUUUAAAUGGAGUGACAUAACGCAACAUUGUCUGAUGGAUGCCCAUUACAACUCUUGCACAGGAAACAUGGAAACCUCAUAUCCCUUGGACCUCAGUAUCCGAAAAAGUAUGGAUAGGUUUGGUGCAAAUCCAAGGAGCCCUCAUAAAAUGUGGUCAGCGAGAGAUAUAAAAGGCUCACAGCCAUUCAAGAUGAACAACCUGGAGGGGGUGACCCAGUCUACUGAGGGACAAAAUGGUUCAGUUGAGGAUCCAGGACAUUGCAAGGACCAAACCUGCCUUCCCCUCAGAAAAAGAAGGUACCCACCUCCAUCCAAGGAUGAAAGACCAUUGACGACGCACAUGGAAGAUUAUCCAAGCUGGCCAAAGAAAUUGUGUGGCUCAUCAAAAAUUCAAGUACCACAGCCAUGCUACUACUCAGGGGACGCGCCUUCCUUUUUACAAUCUUUGUAUUCAUUUCCGAGCCAUGUCAUGCUGAACACACCACUUCUGCCAAUGUUGCUAAGCCCUGACCUGCAGAUCCAGGCAGAUAUCGAGGCAGCUACCCAAUCAGAUGAUGAUGGAGACACAGCACUGCACAUUGCCGUAGUACAUGGAAACAUUCAAGCUGCCCAGUGGGUGAUUUAUCUUCUCCAUCAGGGGCAUAAAAACAUGGACCCCGUCAACAAUCUAAGGCAGACACCCCUACAUCUUGCAGUAAUCACUGACCAGCCGGACCUGGUCUCUCUCCUUUUGUCAAAUGGAUGCUCGCCAAAAAUUCCAGAUCGCAAUGGACAGACAUGUGUUCACCUAGCGUGUGAAAAUGAAAGCAUAAACAGCUUGCGAGUGUUGUUAAAAGGGGGAACGUGGGAUCCAGAAGCAACAAACUACCAAGGUAUGACUGCAUUACAUAUAGCAAUCCGUACAGGACGCACAGAUGCCACUCAGUGUUUGCUGGAUAAUGGAAUGGACGUUGACGCUGUGGAAAUAAAAAGUGGCCGAACUCCCCUAAUCCAAGCCGUGGAGAAUGGGUGUGAGGAACUAGUAUGUCUUCUCCUCCAACGUGGUGCUCAAGUCAAUGCACAAACAUAUGCAGGCAACACAGCUCUCCAUGUGGCCAGUGGACGUGGCCUUGAAGAAAUUACACGAAUGCUGCUACGGAGUGGAGCAGACAGUGGAAUAAAAAACUGCCAUAAUGAUACCUCAAUAACAGUCGCAAAGAACCGAAGGAUUACAGAUAUCCUACAUGGUAAAUCCUCCUCUCCGCGGAAUCAGUAUGAUAGGCUCACCGAUGAACACAGCGACAGCUCGCUUACCCCAUCACCACAACCGCCACAAGUAAAAACACCCAGUUAUAAAUCCGUAAGUCCUCCACCUGGAAGACAGGCAACUCCAUUACUGUCCCUACCUCAAGAAGAUACAUUAAGACAUAUCAAAGUACCUGACUUAUCUCCAGCAAUUAAUGGGUCUAGCCAAAGACAGCUUGGUAGAGUCCAAUGUGAGGAAAAGACAUUCCAAUUUUAAGGGGAAAGACGUUAAAUUUUACAACUGCAGCUAUACAUGCUAAUAAGAUGUUCAGAGGGUGUUUUAAGAACUUUAUUCAGGGAUGUGGGCAAUUCAAUGCCAUCGUCAUGUAUACCUUAUGGAACAUGCCCGGGAACCUCCAAACAGCAAAAACAGAGGAUUGUGGUUACAAAAAAAAGUAGAACAAAAGAAAAGUUCCAUCAUUCUCUUUAACACGAUGUAAUGAGGCAGGUACCAAGCAACAACCUACCAUCAACCUGAGAAGAAAUAUACACACGUGUUUAAGUAAGAAUCCAAUCUACAGUGCCGGGACUGCAUGACGAGAAAUCCAAAUUAUUUUUAGUCUGUCCAUCACAAGUUUGGGAUUCAUUUCAGAAGGACUUCUAUGGAAAUUAAUCUAAUUCUGCAAGCGUGCAUUACUCCGUGGAUGCAUUAAAAGAAUUGCUUACAUGUGAUAAACUUUUUAACAAAACUAUUGAAUACUGUAUUCAAAAUAUAUGGAUAUUUUAUUGGAUGAGUAUGUUAACAAACUCAGAAAGACGACACAAAAAGUGGUCCUUUAAAUGUGUCAAGCUCGUGUCACUGUGUUAACAUGAGACCCAUCUAUCAUAUUCUCCUUCCCGAUUGUUAAAUGGUGCUAGUGAAGGCCAGCAAACAAUGGGAGUAUGUAUUAAGAAUGAAUGCAAUAUGCAAUCUUUUCUAACGAGGAUGCAAUUCCUUCUUUAAUUAUUGUAUAUCCUCUGAAAUUCCACAUCCCAUC